rnacentral:rRNA from 1 species
GUGGGGAAUUUUGGACAAUGGGCGCAAGCCUGAUCCAGCCAUUCCGCGUGCAGGAUGAAGGCCUUCGGGUUGUAAACUGCUUUUGUACGGAACGAAACGCCUCUGGUUAAUACCCGGGGGUCAUGACGGUACCGUAAGAAUAAGCACCGGCUAACUACGUGCCAGCAGCCGCGGUAAUACGUAGGGUGCGAGCGUUAAUCGGAAUUACUGGGCGUAAAGCGUGCGCAGGCGGUGAUGUAAGACAGUUGUGAAAUCCCCGGGCUCAACCUGGGAACUGCAUCUGUGAAUGCAUUGCUGGAGUGCGGCAGAGGGGGAUGGAAUUCCGCGUGUAGCAGUGAAAUGCGUAGAUAUGCGGAGGAACACCGAUGGCGAAGGCAAUCCCCUGGGCCUGCACUGACGCGCAUGCACGAAAGCGUGGGGAGCAAACAGGAUUAGAAACCCGGGUAGUCC